CCUACGGGAGGCAGCAGUGGGGAAUCUUGCACAAUGGGGGAAACCCUGAUGCAGCGACGCCGCGUGAGUGAAGAAGUAAUUCGUUAUGUAAAGCUCUAUCAGCAGGGAAGAAAAUGACGGUACCUGAGUAAGAAGCCCCGGCUAACUACGUGCCAGCAGCCGCGGUAAUACGGAGGGGGCAAGCGGUAUCCGGAUUUACUGGGGGUAAAGUGGGCGUAGACGGCUGUGCAAGUCUGGAGUGAAAGGCGGGGGCUCAACCCCCGGACUGCUCUGGAAACUGUACGGCUUGAGUGCAGGAGAGGUGAGUGGAAUUCCUAGUGUAGCGGUGAAAUGCGUAGAUAUUAGGAGGAACACCAGUGGCGAAGGCGGCUUACUGGACUGUAACUGACGUUGAGGCUCGAAAGCGUGGGGAGCGAACAGGAUUAGAUACCCCUGUAGUC
rnacentral:rRNA from 1 species